rnacentral:tRNA from 2 species
AUUUAAAUAGUUUAAAAAAACAUUUUAUUUUCAAUAAAAAGAUGAAAAGUAUUUUUCUUUAAAUG